rnacentral:rRNA from 1 species
UACAGAGGUCUCAAGCGUUGUUCGGAUUCAUUGGGCGUAAAGGGCUCGUAGGCGGCCAACUAAGUCAGACGUGAAAUCCCUCGGCUUAACCGGGGAACUGCGUCUGAUACUGGAUGGCUCGAGUUUGGGAGAGGGAUGCGGAAUUCCAGGUGUAGCGGUGAAAUGCGUAGAUAUCUGGAGGAACACCGGUGGCGAAGGCGGCAUCCUGGACCAACACUGACGCUGAUGAGCGAAAGCCAGGGGAGCAAACGGG